AUUCCAUGAUGAGGACAGGCCCGGAUGUACUCCUAGAGCCUUUCCCAUGCUUCGGGGAUGGACUCUAGUGAAGACAGCUAUAAGUUGGAGAUCUCCCCCCUUAGAGC
rnacentral:snoRNA from 1 species